UUAGAUACCCUGGUAGUCCACCCCGUAAACGUUGGGAACUAGUUGUGGGGUCCAUUCCACGGAUUCCGUGACGCAGCUAACGCAUUAAGUUCCCCGCCUGGGGAGUACGGCCGCAAGGCUAAAACUCAAAGGAAUUGACGGGGACCCGCACAAGCGGCGGAGCAUGCGGAUUAAUUCGAUGCAACGCGAAGAACCUUACCAAGGCUUGACAUAUACGAGAACGGGCCAGAAAUGGUCAACUCUUUGGACACUCGUAAACAGGUGGUGCAUGGUUGUCGUCAGCUCGCUGUCGUGCAGAUGCUUGGGUUAAGUCCCCGCUAACGAGCAGCAACCCUCGCUUCUACUGUUGCCACGCACGUAAUGGUGGGAACUCAUGGGAUACUGCCGGGGUCAACUCCGGAGGAAGGUGGGGAUGACGUCAAAUCAUCAUGCCCCUUAUGUCUUGGGCUUCACGCAUGCUACAAUGGCCGGUACAAAGCGGCUGCAAUACCGCGAGGUGGAGCGAAUCCCAAAAACGCCGGUCCCAGUUCGGAUUGAGGUCUGCAACUCGACCUCAUGAAGUCCGGAGUCGCUAGUAAUCGCAGAUCAGCAACGCUGCGG
rnacentral:rRNA from 1 species